rnacentral:rRNA from 1 species
GGGUCAGUAGGUUGGUCGUGCCACCGGUACGUACUGGUCUCACUGAUUCCUCCUUCCUGAAGAACCGUAAUGCCAUUAAUUUGGUGUUGCGGGGAAACAGGACUGUUACUUUGAAAAAAAUUAGAGUGUUUAAAGCAAGCUAACGCUUGAAUACAUUAGCAUGGAAUAAUGAUAUAGGACGAUCGAUCCUAUUUUGUUGGUUUCUAGGAUUGACGUA